rnacentral:rRNA from 1 species
AGGACGAACGCUGGCGGCGUGCUUAACACAUGCAAGUCGAGCGGUAAGGCCUUUCGGGGUACACGAGCGGCGAACGGGUGAGUAACACGUGGGUGAUCUGCCCUGCACUCUGGGAUAAGCCUGGGAAACUGGGUCUAAUACCGGAUAUGACCUGCUCUCGCAGUGGGGGUGGGUGGAAAGAUUUAUCGGUGCAGGAUGGGCCCGCGGCCUAUCAGCUUUGGUUGGUGGGUAAUGGCCUACCGAAGGCGACGACGGGUA